GUGCUCACUUCAGCAACACAUAUACUAAUAUUGGAAUGACACAGAAAAGGUUACCCUGGCCACUGCACAGGGAUGUCACACUGAUUCCUUAGGCAUUUUAUAUUUCU